rnacentral:rRNA from 1 species
AACGAACGCUGGCGGCAUGCCUAACACAUGCAAGUCGAACGAGACCUUCGGGUCUAGUGGCGCACGGGUGCGUAACGCGUGGGAACCUGCCCUUAGGUUCGGAAUAACUCCCCGAAAGGGGUGCUAAUACCGGAUAAUGUCUUCGGACCAAAGAUUUAUCGCCUUUGGAUGGGCCCGCGUUGGAUUAGCUAGUUGGUAGGGUAAAAGCCUACCAAGGCGACGAUCCAUAGCUGGUCUGAGAGGAUGAUCAGCCACACUGGCACUGAGACACGGCCCAGACUCCUACGGGAGGCAGCAGUGGGGAAUAUUGGACAAUCGGCGAAAGCCUGAUCCAGCAAUGCCGCGUGAGUGAUGAAGGCCUUAGGGUUGUAAAGCUCUUUUACCCGGGAUGAUAAUGACAGUACCGGGAGAAUAAGCUCCGGCUAACUCCGUG